rnacentral:rRNA from 1 species
CAAUAAGCGGAGGAAAAGAAACCAACAGGGGAUUGCCUUAGUAACGGCGAGCUGAAGCGGCAACUAGCUCAAACUUUGAAAUCCGGCCCUCUGAGGGUCCGUAACUAGAUAAGUAUGUAUGAGAGAUGACUUCUCGGUGCGGGUAGCUUCCCGAGAUUCCUUCGCUACAAGACGCCCUCCAGAGGAGGAGUGACACGCUACGGUUGACAUGCCUAGCCGUCUGCUAAAUCUCCUUGCGUGCGCAAGUCGAAGUUAGGUGUUUGGUGAAAGUGGCAUGUCCUCCCUACACACUUGGGGUAAAGGGGUNCAGAGUUUAUUCCCUUUUCCCUCAAUAAGCCCUAAGGGACUUAUUUAGUGGGCCCAGGACGNAACCAGAAAUACGCCGUCCACCAAAGUUAAGAAGAUGCGUCGAAGGAGAAAUGAAAUAAGCCACCUGUANGUAAAGAGAAGGGGAUUUAGAAUUAAGACAACGUUGNAUAAGUAUGAUUUGGAUCAAGGGGGAAAGGGGAAUUUUGGGUAGUAGCGCGAGGGAACCUUUGUCUUUACUUNGCGGGCCGGGCAAUGCUACUUCGCAGUGGGUGGUUUACCUCCCUGCUCGAGCUUGCCACCCUUGCGCCCCCCAGAUAUAAAAGGCCAGGCAGUCGUGUUAUUCGGGNCGUGGGUAUAAAGACGCACGUACCGAAAUGCUGCGGCUGCUCGUUACCGAGGGGUAAGCUCGCUUUAUUUAAGCCACCUUAUUUUUGGU